rnacentral:rRNA from 1 species
AUGUCUUCUUCUUCCUCCUCCUCAUAUUCUUCCUCCGACUACUCCUCUUCCUCUUCGUCCUCGUCAUCGUCCUCUGACCAGGACUACAACCUCGAGGAUGACGCCGCCGGCGUCGACCUCGAGUUGACGGCGGAGGAAUUCGUCUCGGUGUUGCGUACGCACGACCAGGUCGACGCGGUGCGCAAGAAGUACGACAUCCCGAAGAACCUGUACACCGCCUGCCCCGCCGGCGACCUGCGCGCGAGCUCGUCCCCACCGCAUGGCGCCGUCUGCGUGUACGCGCACGCGCUGGAGGCCGGGAUGCGCCUCCCGCUGCACCCCUUCUUCGUCGACGUGCUCAACCACUUCAACCUCGCGCCGACGCAGCUCGCACCCAACGCUUGGCGCAUCAUAGUGGGCUUCCUUGUGCUCUGCCACUCCGCCCGCGUGCCGCCGUCCCUCGCGGUGUUCCGGCGUUUCUUCCUGCUCCACCACAAACACAAGAUAGCCUGGUACUUCUUCAAGACCAGGCGCGGCUCCCGCUUGCGCAUCACGGGGUUGCCGGAUUCCAUCAAGGGUUGGAAGAGCGGGUUCUUCUUCCUCCAUUCGACGACCCCAUGGCCUUGUCCGGUGGAGUGGGGCAAGCCGUCCAAGAGCUCUCUAGCGGACCCUGUGCUCUCCGCCGAAGAUAGGGAAACGGAGGCGAAGUUGCUGAGCGCUUACGGAGCCUCCCCCGUUGAUCUUAGAAAGUAUCUUUGCCGCAGCAAUCUCGCCGCCGCCAUGAUAUCUCCCUCGUCGGCACCGUCAACACCCCUGCCUCCGGCACAGCAGUCGUCAUCACCGGAGGCCCCGGCACCACAACCUUCAUCACUGCUGUUCCCGGCACUGCAGCCGUCGUCACCACAGCCCCCGGCGCCGUCAUCACCGGAGCACCCGGCACCACAGCCUUCAUCGCUGCUGUCCCCGGCACCGCAGCCGUCGUCGCCACAGGCCCCGGCGCCGUCAUCACCGGAGCACCCGGCACCACAGCCUUCAUCGCUGCUGUCCCCGGCACCGCAGCCGCGAACUUCUUAUACUCGUACUGCUACCAAAGGGAUGGAUCCUGCAGUCUACGUCAUGAUGAAAUCCAUGCUGGCGGCGAAGGCUACCGUGGCGCAAGCAUCAGCAUCGGCGAACAAGGUGAAAUCCGAGCCGGACAACUACACGACCGGGUCUUCGCCGUUGUGUGGGAAGAAGAGGAAUCUGGACGAAGCAUACGGCGACGACGGCCCGCUUUCCUAUGUGCUGCCAAACACUCCGCCGGCCUCCGGAGCUUCCUCCCUGCCUGGGGGGUUCUCCCGGAGCCGGAAGAUGCGGCAUAUUCCCAAAGGACAGGACGGCGACAGCACGGACUGGGAGGCCGCACGGGAGAGGUUGCAGGGCGUCGUCCAGCCGCAGCAGGAGCGCUUGUUCGCGGCGAACGAGCCCUCCGACAUCGUCAAGUCCACCUACGUCUCUAUUCUUCAGGCAGCGAAGUACGCAUCCUUCUCCUUGGCCUACGCGUUGGAGCUGGACUCGGAGGUCGCCGCACUGCGGACGCAGCUGCAGAAGUCAGAGGCCAAGCUCGCCGCGGCGGAGGCGGAGGUGGAGACGCUGAAGGCCGAGCUCACCGUGCGGCGGCGCGCGCAGGACGCGCUGGAUGGCUACGAGCACUGGCGGGGAACGAACGCGGGGCGGAGGACGUGA